rnacentral:lncRNA from 12 species
CAUCUGCAGCCUUGAUCUGACCCUGCCCCAAACAUUUGGCAUGUGGAAGCUGGCCCAGUUGUCACAGAGCAAGAAGAUUAAUUUUCCAGUGCUUACAGCCUUCUCUUGGGCUUCUGCAUGUCCUCACAGUAAUCACUGUUUAAAAACACUGAUAAAAUUCAAGAAUGUGCCAAUAAUAGCUCCCUCAUCACAGGCUGGGGUGGAUUUCCAAAGCACCAGAAGCUGAAUGCUGAUCCUCCCGGGAAGGCGCCCUCAAGAAACUGCUGGUCUCAGAAAUGCAGAGCUCCCCAGAGGAAGAGCCCUAAUAACCACCCAUCUCUCAGUAAGCAUCCUAUUCUCGAAGUGUUACAAACAGCUGCAGCCAGCUCUACAGAGAUGCUUAAGCCAAAUGCUAAACCCAGGGAAGGAAAAUUUUUAUAUUUCAAUUUUAAUAAAUGAAAUAACUGGGGUAUCCAUUGAAAUUAUAUUUUAUUCACUAAGUUAAGUGUGGUUUCCCUAGGUUGCAGGUUUUCUUCUUGGUUUUGGAGGUACCACUUCAUGACUUAGCCCAAGGUGGUAAUACAUAUAUCUGCUUGUGUACUGUUCCCAUUAGGCAGAAUGGUAAGGGCGGGACUUAUUUCAUCAAUUUCUAGUCCUUAGCAGAGGGUCUAACACAUGGUAGGUGCUAAUUGCUGUUUAUUGAAUGGAAGAGUGAAUAUAUUCAUCAAUCAGUAUAGAAUGAUGGGAAAGGAGAUAUACCUCGGGAAGAAGACUUUAAAUUUCAACCUCUGGGGGAUGCCCGGGUGGCUCAGUGGUUGAGCAUCUACUUUCGGCCCAGGUCCUCAUCCAGGGGUCCUGGGAUCAAGUCCCACAUCUGGCUCUCUGUGAAGUGCCUGCUUCUCCCUCUAUGUCUCUGCCUCUCUCUGUGUGUCAUAAGUAAAUAAAAUAAAAAUCUUAAAAAAAAUAAAUAUCA